rnacentral:lncRNA from 1 species
UCCGCGAAAUCUUCCGAUUCGUUGACUCCGGGAAGGCCUUGAGGAUUCUCUGUCAAAGUCGCAAGGGUUCUGCGGACCACUACGGAGUCUGCAGAUGGCAGCUUUAUCGCCCAUAAUCCGAUGGUUUUUUGAUGCUCGAUCAAAGGUCCUUUCGGAGGCGGGGGGCCAGGAAUCUGGGUUAAGAGUGAAUACAUAACAUGGAUCACUGCAACUUCAUCAUCUUACUCUUAAAUUAUAGAGUAGUUCCUGUAUAUUCAGGUGCGACUUAAUCGCCGCACUUUUAAACUCAGCAUUUGAGUCUGUAACCGUUCUGACAACUUGAUCCAUUUUUGAUAAAUCUAAUUCGAGUUAACUAUUCAUAGGGAUAGUAAAAGCCACAAAGGUGAGGAAUUCGAUGACGGGAUACUCAAAUCUACGAAUGGUGCGCAGCGCAAAUGCGCAAUCAACCUGUCAGAAAACUGAGAGGUUCCGCAAACAUGCAGGGAAGGUCAAAUUGUUAACAAAAUCAAUGAGGUUCACUUUUAACUCAGCAUUUGAGUCUGUAACCUUUCUGACAACUUGAUCCAUUUUUGAUAAAUCUAAUUCAAGUAAACUAGUAAAAGAAACAAAGGUGAGGAAUUCGACAACGCGAUACUCAAAUCUAUGAAUGGUGCGCAGCGUAGAUGCGCAAUCAACCUGUCAGAAAACUGAGAGGUUCCGCAAACAUNACAAAGGAGAGAUAACCCCAACUAAACGGGGUGUUAAAUUUUAAGUAAACACAGAGAAAAUUUAUCUCAACUAUAGACUAUUUUAAUUUUUUUAAUUUGAAUCUAUCAACGAUAUUUGAACUUCAAAAUUUGAAUGCGUUAUUUAUUUUUAUAUAUUUUAUUAAUAUAUUUUAUAUAAUUUUCGCAACUAUGAAGUAUUGUUGAUUUGCUCAAAUCAAACAAAUUAGGAGGUUAAAUAGUAAAAUUAAACUUUCGAAAGGUUGAUUAGCUGAUUCAAAAUGACCAUAGUUUACAUAAGUUUUAUACUUUUUUAUCUAAAUUUUAUUGAGCAUUAUUAACUUUUUUUCAAUUAGUUGUGCAAUUAUUAUUGAGGAGGAAAAUACAUUUCUUACAAAUAAAUCUUACAGCACUUUCAAAUAGUACAAAUUAAUGGUUGGAUUUCAAUCUCAAAAUUAUAAAUCAUGCUUAUUUCCUCUUAAUUUAUACUUAAAUACUGCUAAGUAUGUUAGUUUAUAAAAUGCUGUAAAAUUUAUUCGUAAGCACAAACAUUACUCGACAGAUGGCGGGUUUUGUAAAAUUGUAAAAAAUUAAAGUUCCAGGACAAAAUUUGAGAUUUAAAAUUUUAAAAUUUGAGUACGAGGACUCUAAUACUCAUAAUAGUAUAGUAGCCGGACUCUAUUAAUUAUUAUAUAUNUCGGUGGGGCCGAAGACGAUCCCAGGCGUAUACACUCCCCCCUUCGGCAAAUUCUCUCUUUGGCCCAGCACAAUCAAAGCGCACUGAAUGAGUAUUAUCGGAGUCGUCAAGUACCCAAUCUCCGGCCCCGACACUCUAGUAAUAAUCUCUGUAUCCAGUUUACUGCCGGGUUGUGAUGCAACACUUUGAUUGCUAUACCCUUUACCGAUAAACCACAUUUUGAAAGUCGCGCUUCUCACCUCUUCUUCGGUCGGCCCUGUUUUCCUAAACCAGCCGAGAGAGAAAAUUUCUGGGAAUUUUAAGAGGAUUUUUCUCCCAAAAGAGUACUUUCCGAGAAGCCCGAUGAAUAAUCCGGUGAAGAUGAACCGCAGCAUGCCGAGAAUAGAUUUCGAACCGAUCUUUACACCAAAGUGAGCGGGCUUCACCGACGACCAGAACUGCUUUCGUUUCUCCGCGAAAUCUUCCGAUUCGUUGACUCCGGGAAGGCCUUGAGGAUUCUCUGUCAAAGUCGCAAGGGUUCUGCGGACCACUACGGAGUCUGCAGAUGGCAGCUUUAUCGCCCAUAAUCCGAUGGUUUUUUGAUGCUCGAUCAAAGGUCCUUUCGGAGGCGGGGGGCCAGGAAUCUGGAUUAAGAAUGAAUACAUAACAUGGAUCACUGCAACUUCAUCAUCUUACUCUUAAAUUAUAGAGUAGUUCCUGUAUAUUCAGGUGCGACUUAAUCGCCGCACUUUUAAACUCAGCAUUUGAGUCUGUAACCGUUCUGACAACUUGAUCCAUUUUUGAUAAAUCUAAUUCGAGUUAACUAUUCAUAGGGAUAGUAAAAGCCACAAAGGUGAGGAAUUCGAUGACGGGAUACUCAAAUCUACGAAUGGUGCGCAGCGCAAAUGCGCAAUCAACCUGUCAGAAAACUGAGAGGUUCCGCAAACAUGCAGGGAAGGUCAAAUUGUUAACAAAAUCAAUGAGGUUCACUUUUAACUCAGCAUUUGAGUCUGUAACCUUUCUGACAACUUGAUCCAUUUUUGAUAAAUC